AAAAUCCGUCGACUUUAAAAAUCGUGAGGGUUCAAGUCCCUCUAUCCCCAAAAAAGCCUAUUUGCCUCUCAAACUUUUUAUCCUAUCCCC
rnacentral:tRNA from 1 species